rnacentral:rRNA from 1 species
UGGGAAUUUUGGACAAUGGGCGCAAGCCUGAUCCAGCCAUGCCGCGUGCGGGAAGAAGGCCUUCGGGUUGUAAACCGCUUUUGUCGGGGAAGAAAUCUUCUGAGUUAAUACCUCGGGAGGAUGACGGUACCUGAAGAAUAAGCACCGGCUAACUACGUGCCAGCAGCCGCGGUAAUACGUAGGGUGCAAGCGUUAAUCGGAAUUACUGGGCGUAAAGCGUGCGCAGGCGGUUUUGUAAGACAGAGGUGAAAUCCCCGGGCUCAACCUGGGAACUGCCUUUGUGACUGCAAGGCUUGAGUGCGGCAGAGGGGGGAUGGAAUUCCGCGUGUAGCAGUGAAAUGCGUAGAUAUGCGGAGGAACACCGAUGGCGAAGGCAAUCCCCUGGGCCUGCACUGACGCUCAUGCACGAAAGCGUGGGGAGCAAAACAGGAUUAGAUACCCCUGGGUAGUCCACGCCCUAAACGAUGUCAACUGGUUGUUGGGAAAGGUUCCUUCUCAGUAACGUAGCUAACGCGUGAAGUUGACCGCCUGGGGAGUACGCCGCAAGGUUGAAACUUAAAGGAAUUGACGGGGUCAUA